rnacentral:tRNA from 1 species
GAAUAUUAAUUCAUUAUGGUUAUUAUAAAAAUUGACUGGCAGUCAAGAGGUCGUGGGUUCGAGUCCCAUCUUCUCCA